GGCUACCAUGCAAGUCGAGGGGCAGCAUUUCAGUUUGCUUGCAAACUGGAGAUGGCGACCGGCGCACGGGUGAGUAACACGUAUCCAACCUGCCGAUAACUCGGGGAUAGCCUUUCGAAAGAAAGAUUAAUACCCGAUGGNAUAAUCAGACCGCAUGGUCUUAUUAUUAAAGAAUUUCGGUUAUCGAUGGGGAUGCGUUCCAUUAGGCAGUUGGUGAGGUAACGGCUCACCAAACCUUCGAUGGAUAGGGGUUCUGAGAGGAAGGUCCCCCACAUUGGAACUGAGACACGGUCCAAACUCCUACGGGAGGCAGCAGUGAGGAAUAUUGGUCAAUGGGCGCAGGCCUGAACCAGCCAAGUAGCGUGAAGGAUGACUGCCCUAUGGGUUGUAAACUUCUUUUAUAUGGGAAUAAAGUUUUCCACGUGUGGAAUUUUGUAUGUACCAUAUGAAUAAGGAUCGGCUAACUCCGUGCCAGCAGCCGCGGUAAUACGGAGGAUCCGAGCGUUAUCCGGAUUUAUUGGGUUUAAAGGGAGCGUAGGUGGACAGUUAAGUCAGUUGUGAAAGUUUGCGGCUCAACCGUAAAAUUGCAGUUGAUACUGGCUGUCUUGAGUACAGUAGAGGUGGGCGGAAUUCGUGGUGUAGCGGUGAAAUGCUUAGAUAUCACGAAGAACUCCGAUUGCGAAGGCAGCUCACUGGACUGCAACUGACACUGAUGCUCGAAAGUGUGGGUAUCAAACAGGAUUAGAUACCCUGGUAGUCCACACAGUAAACGAUGAAUACUCGCUGUUUGCGAUAUACAGUAAGCGGCCAAGCGAAAGCAUUAAGUAUUCCACCUGGGGAGUACGCCGGCAACGGUGAAACUCAAAGGAAUUGACGGGGGCCCGCACAAGCGGAGGAACAUGUGGUUUAAUUCGAUGAUACGCGAGGAACCUUACCCGGGCUUAAAUUGCAUUUGAAUANUNUGGAAACAGGNUAGCCGCAAGGCAAAUGUGAAGGUGCUGCAUGGUUGUCGUCAGCUCGUGCCGUGAGGUGUCGGCUUAAGUGCCAUAACGAGCGCAACCCUUAUCUUUAGUUACUAACAGGUCAUGCUGAGGACUCUAGAGAGACUGCCGUCGUAAGAUGUGAGGAAGGUGGGGAUGACGUCAAAUCAGCACGGCCCUUACGUCCGGGGCUACACACGUGUUACAAUGGGGGGUACAGAAGGCAGCUACCUGGUGACAGGAUGCUAAUCCCAAAAGCCUCUCUCAGUUCGGAUCGAAGUCUGCAACCCGACUUCGUGAAGCUGGAUUCGCUAGUAAUCGCGCAUCAGCCAUGGCGCGGUGAAUACGUUCCCGGGCCUUGUACACACCGCCCGUCAAGCCAUGAAAGCCGGGGGUACCUGAAGUACGUAACCGCAAGGAGCUCCUAGNA
rnacentral:rRNA from 1 species